UCCUCGUUAGUAUAGUGGUGAGUAUCCCUGCCUAACACACGGCAGACCGGGGUUCGAUUUCCUGAUGGGGAG
rnacentral:tRNA from 1 species